GGAUGCGAUCAUACCAACUCACAUGCACCGGAUCCCAUCCGAACUCCGAAGUUAAGCGAGUUUCGACGAGAAUAGUACUAGGAUGGAUGACCGCCUGGGAAGUUCUCGUGUUGUAUCCC